ACCUCUGCUUUUCUCUUCUGUAAAACGGGGGUGAUGGCACCAGGAUUUAGAUGUAAGGCACAGGACAGUGCUAAACAUCAAGUGCUAAACAAGCAUUUGCUAAUUCAACCAACUUGGAAUCUUCCCUCAAUCAUUCUCUCUGCUCCCUCCUAGGUAACUUGGUGCUUAAAGACGGUUGGGUUUUCUAAUUGACCAAAAUCAACUAAAACUAGGAUAGAAUAAGUGUGUGAAUAUACUUUCUCAUGUCAAUACUUCACAAGAACCUUAAAAGUGGUCUCCACGUUUGGUGAUAACCAUCAACUCUAUAGGGUGAGGUAGAACAUAAAGGUGUUUAGAGGGGAGAUAACUGGGAAGUAAAGUACCGAAACACAUACCUCUUGAUGUCUGGGCUUAAGCUCAGAGCUGGCACAGGUACCUGUCCAUUCAAAAGAAAACCUUUUAGCAAAGGAGCACUCCAGAUUCCCAGCCACAUACCUGACAGUCAUCCACGUCUACUUCCAGGAAUAUCACGUUGGAAUACUUCUCGGAGAGGGACUGGAGCGUUUGAAACGAAAAGCACACAGAGAAUCAGAGCUUGUUAGCGGCAGUCCACCCCAACCUUCUUACACGGAAAUAUCAUAAAAAAUGCCAGCACUUAGACUGGGGACCAGGGUUGUGACCACCCGCCCAGCAACACCCAUCACCCAGAGCAGCAGGCGCUCGGCACUCACAUGGAAGAAGGGCUUGAUCAUCUUGCAGGGCCCACACCACGUGGCGGAGAAGUCGACCACGACCAGCUUAUCUCCCGCACUGUUCAGGGCUUCCU